rnacentral:ncRNA from 1 species
CGAAAAGCUGUGACAAGAAACAGUAGGCACAUCUGAUUUUCCAGAGAAACGGCGGUAGGUGCGAGCCGUUAUUGAAGAUAUGCCGAACCCGUCUUUGAGCUGCGCCCGGAACCCGGAAUCCCCGGCAGUAAGCGGCGCCGGAACUCACCGUUAAAUGAGGAGCGUUGUAUGACGUGAAGCGCGGGAUGACCCCGAAUUCAGGUGGUAACACGGACUUUGUACAGUUCGCCCUGAGC